rnacentral:misc_RNA from 1 species
GUCGUAACAAGGUUUCCGUAGGUGAACCUGCGGAAGGAUCAUUACCACACCUCUCUGAACGAGCAUACAAGGAUGAAAGUCCGAGCAUGUGAGUUCUAUCGAGUGUUUCUUUCUGGUUUACUCCAGUCAAGAACAUUUGAGUCCCGCGUUUUUAAAUUUCGGCAUUCAUUUGCCUAAUCAAUCACCAAAUUUCUCCUUCACACGAGAAAAAACCUGAAAUGAAACAACCAUAAAUCCACUUUUAAAGUGAAUUCUAAUUCUAACGAAUGACAAAACACUUUCAGCAACGGAUGUCUUGGCUCCCAU